GCGCUCCUUUUGAAACCUGAGACGGAGACCUGCGGAGGGCGAGGGCUGGUUGGAGGUCUCUGUCCUUUCUGGGAACCAAGCAGGGGUCGCAGGAGGGCAGGGAUGGGUCAGCGGGGACCUCUCAGUGGGGUUCGGCUGAGAGAGGCCACAGUUUCAUCUUUGGGAAGCUACCCUGGGCCGGCCACGCGCCGUGAGCCGGACUGGCGACGCCCCUCUGCCUCCACCGUGCUCCUUCACCCGAGAAAUUCAGCUCAGCCCCAGCCUCUCAGCAACCUCCCUUUGGCUCCGCCUUUUAAAGGACCUUUACGAGCACCUACAAGAGGACCAACAUUCUCCAGGAAAUUCUGUCCUUUAAAACCAUGAGAUGAAUAAUCUUGGUCUGGAAGAUAUUCAUAGAAAGAAGCUUAGAAUGUUUGAUUUUUGAGCAUGAAUUAACUGUACAGUCAUCAAUUAAAUAAGCUGAUCCACUGAAGCUUUACUGUGAAGUGUUUAUGUGCCAGGCACCAUGUGUAGAAGCGCUGGUCCAAAGAUGAAGAUGAAGUUUCUAUCCUUAAGGUAUGCGAUGUGGGAGAUGAACAGAACCAGGACUCCUUAGAGAAAUGGUUGGUUCUAGGCCUGAAGGAAGGAAAAAUACAAGAUAAACCUAGAAUACUUUACUGUGCCAGAGAAUGAAGAAAUGCUGAAAGAAUUAUAUCUAUUCUGUCAAAGAGACAUAGAAACUAGCUUGAAGGAGCUCCCACUGGCCAAAUCUGGGACAAUUUGAGCAUUGAAAUAAGGAUAGUAACAGAUUAUAGACAGGCAAGAGAGCCACAGAGGAGAAAGUGAUGUGAAGACAGAAGCAGGGAUUGGAGUGAUCCAUCUACAAGCCAAGAAAUACCAAUGGUUGCUGCCAGCCACCAGGAUCUAGGAGAGUGGCAUGGAACAGAUUUUCCCUUAGAGCUUCCAGAAAGAACUAACCCUGUCAACACUGUGAUUCUGGACUGUGAGAGAGAAAUUUCUAUUGUUUUAAGCCAUCAAGUUUGUGGUAAUUUGUUAUGGCAACCGUAGGAAACAUCACCCAGUAAAUCCAAAUUAAAUAUUAU
rnacentral:lncRNA from 1 species